rnacentral:sRNA from 1 species
UGUCCCCACAGUGCACAUGGACUAGGCUCCUCCCACGGGGCACUAGGCCAGGCCAGGGGUGUGGGGUGAGCCCCUGGGGAGCCCAGAGCAGGGUACACUCAUGUCCCCACCAUCCAAGGCCCAGUGAUGAGCACCAUCCGGAAGUGAAGGCUGAUGGGUACGUGGACAACCUCGCAGAGGCAGUGGACCUGCUGCUGCAGCACGCGGACAAGUGACAGCCUCCUGGGAGAGCCCCACCU